rnacentral:lncRNA from 1 species
AUUAAGUAGAUUCUCCUUCCUCAAGGAGGUGGGGCAUAAUACUACACUCUUCAUAUCUGCUUGCACAGUGACUUUCUUCCAAAUAGUAUGAAAUAUGAAAAGAAUGAAAAAGAAUAACUUCACAGUGGGGAAACAAAAUUUUUCAGAAUUAUAUAAUCUUUUGUUGUAGAUAAUGAUUUUGGUAAGACUGGAGUAUUUACUGGAGAAAGGAAAAGCACGGACACCAGAAGAUGGAUUUGAGAGCUACGUGUAGAACAGGUUGGCUUUGGAUUAAUCAUUGGCUUUGAAGAAGCCCAGUUUAAGGAGGGAACAAGUACAAAAAUCCUGAAACGAAAGUGUUGAAAUUGCACUGAGAAAUACUAGAGUGUUUCAAGUCCCGAAAUGAAAGAAUCAUCACUUAUGAAUAUAGAAUCGCUUCUGGCAAUCAAGUGACUAAUGUUAGGGGUCACAGGGUUUUCAUAAUCAAGAUUUCACCACACCCAUACCUGAAGUCACUAAUGACCACUCCUAAUAGUAACACUUUCCCUGGAGCAAGAGGAAAAGCUGGCAACAAGAGUUCACUUAACCAUAUCACAUAUUUCCAGGCUGUAACAUAGGGUUAAUAAAAAGUGAGA